GAUGAACGCUGGCGGCGUGCCUAAUACAUGCGAGUCGAGCGAACGGACGAGAAGCUUGCUUCUCUGAUGUUAGCGGCGGACGGGUGAGUAACACGUGGAUAACCUACCUAUAAGACUGGGAUAACUUCGGGAAACCGGAGCUAAUACCGGAUGAUAUUUUGAACCGCAUGGUUCAAAAGUGAAAGACGGUCUUGCUGUCACUUAUAGAUGGAUCCGCGCUGCAUUAGCUAGUUGGUAAGGUAACGGCUUACCAAGGCAACGAUGCAUAGCCGACCUGAGAGGGUGAUCGGCCACACUGGAACUGAGACACGGUCCAGGCUCCUACGGGAGGCAGCAGUAGGGAAUCGUCCGCAAUGGGCGAAAGCCUGACGGAGCAACGCCGCGUGAGUGAUGAAGGUCUUCGGAUCGUAAAACUCUGUUAUUAGGGAAGAACAUAUGUGUAAGUAACUGUGCACAUCUUGACGGUACCCAAUCAGAAAGCCACGGCUAACUACGUG
rnacentral:rRNA from 1 species